rnacentral:rRNA from 1 species
UACAGAGGUCCCAAGCGUUGUUCGGAUUCACUGGGCGUAAAGGGUGCGUAGGCGGCAAGGUAAGUCUGACGUGAAAUCUCCGAGCCUAACUCGGAAACUGCGUUGGAUACUAUCUUGCUCGAGGAAUGGAGGGGAGACUGGAAUACUUGGUGUAGCAGUGAAAUGCGUAGAUAUUGUCAAGAACACCAAUUGCGAAGGCAGCUUACUAAGUUAUAACUGACGCUGAGGCACGAAAGUGCGGGGAUCAAACAGG